GCGGCUUCUACUGAUCGUCAUCGGUGCGGGAGGUGAUUCUAUUCACUCACCGUCUCACAUCUGCAUCCAACCACUCGCUCUCAUCCCCUUCCUCCACUUCACUCCCCUUGCUUCUCUCCUCGCAGUUCCCCUGAAACAUAUGCCUAGAUCCACGCUGCUGCUCAAAUCGACAAGUGAUACGAGAUGAAGAAGAGCACAUCUAGCUACGAUUGAUCUUUACGGCAGCCCGAGCUCUUCCCUUCGAUUCGCCGCUUUUGAUAACUCAAGGCCAGCUAAAUCAUUCGCCAACGCCCGGUUCUUAUCAGAAGAUUUCAACAUGAACCCUGUGGACCUUCCUUCCAAAGUCAUCCUAGAUGCUAUGU